AAUCAUGUUAAUUCUCACUCAGACACAAUCGCAGACAAGUUUUAUUUGCGAGCAGGGAGCAAAAGAAUCUGUGAUUUUCACUUGCUGCAGUGGCGGCCUUGCAGCGACGACGGCAUUCUCAAACUCAGCAAGGUCGCGAGCCAGUUUCUCCAUCAGGCCCCACUUCUCUGCAAACACCUUCACGAUGGUCAAUGCACUAGCCACGUCGGAUACGAAAGGGCCAUCAUCCACGGUGUCGCCAUGGAGGUGCUAAAUACUAUGGGAGCGGGACACACGUCAUGGCUACCAUGUUUUGAGAUCGCUACCGACCGCAGUCUGGGAAAGGUCCGUGCGCCACAAUUUCACUAUCUAUGGUCUGCGCGCACAACAUUUUGUCGAUUCCACACUUGUACACACCAAAAAAAUUAAUUAUAUACAAUACACUAACCAUUUGGUAUGCAUUAAGCAACUACAGCUUAAGUGGUCAGCCAAUACAUCAGGUUCUAUGGUGACAGGGCAGGGGAUUCAUCGCAAUUAUAUUUCA
rnacentral:lncRNA from 1 species